GACUUUGAGUUCGAGUAACCGUUCAUAGCUGAAAUUACUAGACUGAAACUGAUACGCUAUUCAAGAUUACAAUCAUUGGACCUUAGCAACAAUCAACUGGUGUGGAGUAUAUUAGUAACUUAUAUCAGCAUUUGUCAGAUCCUUUCUUCAAAAAAAUGAAAUCUUUACAGUGCAGUAAGAUGUAUGUUGAAUUUCAGCUGGCAACACGUUGAUAUAUGGAGGUGUGCCCAAUCACAGUCGUGCAUUAUUGAGCAAGGAACCGGGACUAAGAUGGCAGUCAACAUACAUCGCCAGGUCAAAAGGUCAUCAAGUUUGAAACUCUGGGAACAAAGAUCCAACUAAAAGCUUAACUUCAUUUUUCCACAAUCUGCCCUCACCCUCUUAAAACCUAAGCUGUUGUUAUUUUUGAACAGGAAGCUGAUUUUAAUAUAACACAUAACAGAUUGCAUUUUAAGUGAAUUAAACAUUAAUUUUUGUAGUGUCUUUACAGAUAAUGAUUUUACUUAUAAAGUGGUUCAAGUACA